rnacentral:rRNA from 1 species
GACGAACGCUGGCGGCGUGCCUAAUACAUGCAAGUCGAGCGAAUCGAUGGGAGCUUGCUCCCUGAGAUUAGCGGCGGACGGGUGAGUAACACGUGGGUAACCUGCCUGUAAGACUGGGAUAACUUCGGGAAACCGGAGCUAAUACCGGAUACUUUCUUUUCUCGCAUGAGGGAAGAUGGAAAGAUGGUUCUGCUAUCACUUACAGAUGGACCCGCGGCGCAUUAGCUAGUUGGUGAGGUAACGGCUCACCAAGGCAACGAUGCGUAGCCGACCGGAGAGGGUGAUCGGCCACACUGGGACUGAGACGCGGCCCAGACUCCUACGGGAGGCAGCAGUAGGGAAUCUUCCGCAAUGGACGAAAGUCUGACGGAGCAACGCCGCGUGAGCGAAGAAGGCCUUCGGGUCGUAAAGCUCUGUUGUUAGGGAAGAACAAGUACGAGAGUAACUGCUCGUACCUUGACGGUACCUAACCAGAAAGCCACGGCUAACUACGUGCCAGCCGCCGCGGUAAGAC